rnacentral:rRNA from 1 species
GGAAUAUUGCACAAUGGGCGAAAGCCUGAUGCAGCAACGCCGCGUGAGCGAUGAAGGCCUUCGGGUCGUAAAGCUCUGUCCUCAAGGAAGAUAAUGACGGUACUUGAGGAGGAAGCCCCGGCUAACUACGUGCCAGCAGCCGCGGUAAUACGUAGGGGGCUAGCGUUAUCCGGAAUUACUGGGCGUAAAGGGUGCGUAGGUGGUUUCUUAAGUCAGAGGUGAAAGGCUACGGCUCAACCGUAGUAAGCCUUUGAAACUGGGAAACUUGAGUGCAGGAGAGGAGAGUGGAAUUCCUAGUGUAGCGGUGAAAUGCGUAGAUAUUAGGAGGAACACCAGUUGCGAAGGCGGCCCCCUGGACGAAGACUGACGCUCAGGUGCGAAAGCGUGGGGAGCAAACAG